AAAGAAUAAAAAUAAUGAAUACAUUUUAUCCGGAAGAUAACUAAGCCCUGGCCCAGGAACUGAAGUGAAAGGAAGGGAGCACUGCAUGAGACGUGCACAAGGAGGAAUGAAAACAAAUGGGCACUCAGAGCCAUCAGCAAAAUAUUUCAGAACCUGAAGCACGAAUGAAACUGUAUGCCAGAGGAAGAAAGAACGACAUCAAAACCAAAGACCAAUAA
rnacentral:lncRNA from 1 species